AUAGGUUAAUGAGGCGAACCGGGGGAACUGAAACAUCUAAGUACCCCGAGGAAAAGAAAUCAACCGAGAUUCCCCCAGUAGCGGCGAGCGAACGGGGAGGAGCCCAGAGCCUGAAUCAGUGUGUGUGUUAGUGGAAGCGUCUGGAAAGGCGCGCGAUACAGGGUGACAGCCCCGUACACAAAAAUGCACAUAUUGUGAGCUCGAUGAGUAGGGCGGGACACGUGGUAUCCUGUCUGAAUAUGGGGGGACCAUCCUCCAAGGCUAAAUACUCCUGACUGACCGAUAGUGAACCAGUACCGUGAGGGAAAGGCGAAAAGAACCCCGGCGAGGGGAGUGAAAAAGAACCUGAAACCGUGUACGUACAAGCAGUGGGAGCCUCUUAAUGGGGUGACUGCGUACCUUUUGUAUAAUGGGUCAGCGACUUAUAUUCUGUAGCAAGGUUAACCGAAUAGGGGAGCCGAAGGGAAACCGAGUCUUAACUGGGCGUUAAGUUGCAGGGUAUAGACCCGAAACCCGGUGAUCUAGCCAUGGGCAGGUUGAAGGUUGGGUAACACUAACUGGAGGACCGAACCGACUAAUGUUGAAAAAUUAGCGGAUGACUUGUGGCUGGGGGUGAAAGGCCAAUCAAACCGGGAGAUAGCUGGUUCUCCCCGAAAGCUAUUUAGGUAGCGCCUCGUGAAUUCAUCUCCGGGGGUAGAGCACUGUUUCGGCAAGGGGGUCAUCCCGACUUACCAACCCGAUGCAAACUGCGAAUACCGGAGAAUGUUAUCACGGGAGACACACGGCGGGUGCUAACGUCCGUCGUGAAGAGGGAAACAACCCAGACCGCCAGCUAAGGUCCCAAAGUCAUGGUUAAGUGGGAAACGAUGUGGGAAGGCCCAGACAGCCAGGAUGUUGGCUUAGAAGCAGCCAUCAUUUAAAGAAAGCGUAAUAGCUCACUGGUCGAGUCGGCCUGCGCGGAAGAUGUAACGGGGCUAAACCAUGCACCGAAGCUGCGGCAGCGACGCUUAUGCGUUGUUGGGUAGGGGAGCGUUCUGUAAGCCUGUGAAGGUGGCCUGUGAGGGUUGCUGGAGGUAUCAGAAGUGCGAAUGCUGACAUAAGUAACGAUAAAGCGGGUGAAAAGCCCGCUCGCCGGAAGACCAAGGGUUCCUGUCCAACGUUAAUCGGGGCAGGGUGAGUCGACCCCUAAGGCGAGGCCGAAAGGCGUAGUCGAUGGGAAACAGGUUAAUAUUCCUGUACUUGGUGUUACUGCGAAGGGGGGACGGA
rnacentral:rRNA from 1 species